ensembl:lncRNA
CGUGGAGGACAUCUCACUGAUGAAUGUCCCUUAGCAAGCGAUCAUUCUGGAAUCCAUUUUGCCUUCAAAGAGGCUUCUCUGGCAUGUCUGGGAGGGGGUGGGCUCCGUGCGAUCCAUAAAUCCGCAGCCAGGAGCCCGGAGCCUGGGACGCCGUGUGCGACUCGGCUGCCAAGCUGUCCUUGCCGUCACUGGCCAACAUUGGCCGUGACGGGCGGGAAGGCGGCUUCGGGCCAGCAGCCCUGCAACGGCCGCCGCCACGCAGCCUUGGGCAGCUGCAGCCACGGCUCCUGGGGGAGGCGCCAUGGAAAAUCCCCCACAGCCUCCCUCUCGCCCUGGACCCCGUCACUUCCCAGGCAGGUCCAGGGUCCGAGGCCGCCCAGGGCACCAGGCACAGAGCAGCACUGCCAGAGUCCUCCGGGGCCAGGGCCAACGCCAGCCUUCCCUGCCUGCCCCACACCUGCUGCCUGGCGCCGGCCAGACCUCCUGGCCCACAGGGCCCUGGGAAUCCAGGCUCCCAGCUCCUCUCUCCUGGACUCCCUGGAGCGUCGUCAUCUGGUGCCUGGAAUGGAAGAACCCAGGCUCUGGUGCUGGGUGAGUCACCCCCACGUCUGACACAGAGCCCCCGUCUGGGGGUGAGGGUACGGCUAGGGGGGGCAGGCGGCCUCUGCAAUGUCGGAGGGGCGGAGAGAACCGGCCAGGUCCACAGCGGCGCUGUACACACUGCGUCCCGGGCCUGGCCAGCAGCCAAGGACAGCGCCAAUGUCAGCCACCAGCGGCGAGGAGCCCCGGGAGGACAGCACGUCUCCUCGGAGCAGCAUGGCAGUGCCGCUGUCAACCACGCGCCCUCGGAGUGGCAGACACAGGGGGGCGCUUUGCUUCUUUUUAAAAGAGAUUUGUUUGUUACGGGGUGGGGGGGGGUCUUGCAUCCACUGGUUCACUCCCCAGUGGUCCUAACAGUCGGGGCUGGGCCACACCAAAGCCAGGAGCUCCACUCUUGUCCCCCACUGGGUGCAGGGGCCCAAGGCUUGGACCAUCCUCUACUGCUUUCCCAGGCCAUUUGCAGGGAGCUGGAUCAGAAGUGGAGCAGCCGGGACUUGAACCGGCGCUCACAGGGGAUGCCGGCGCUGCGGGCGGAGGGCUAGCCCAGUGUGCCCCAACACUGGCCCAAGGGGAUGGUUUUUAAAAGGACAAAGCAGGGAUUCCUUGAAGUAUCCCGAAUCAUCCGAAUCAUGGUGCUCAGCCACAGAGCUUAGUAACCAGGGAGCUGGCUGUGUGGGGUUGACGGGGAGGUGCUGGGCGGGGUCCUCGCAGAGCGACUUCCGGGCACCGGCGGUUCCGGCAGAGGCCUGGGGGGCUCCCCUGUCGUCUGGUGCCCAUGCGCAGCCCGGCUCCGAUUGUGACAGCUUUGAUGGCCUGGGGGCUUGGGCGGAGGUUGGCGAGGCUCCUACCCCUUCCCCUCCCCCGCAAUCUGAGCCGGGCUCUCAUGUUAGCCACUGCCCCCUCCAGGGCGGGGCCCUCAACAGCGCCCCCAAACCCUCAGCCCCUCCC